rnacentral:rRNA from 1 species
UACGAAGGGAGCUAGCGUUGUUCGGAAUCACUGGGCGUAAAGCGCACGUAGGCGGAUUUGCCAGUCAGGGGUGAAAUCCCGGGGCUCAACCUCGGAACUGCCUUUGAUACAGCAAGUCUUGAGUUCGAGAGAGGUGGGUGGAAUUCCUAGUGUAGAGGUGAAAAUUCGUAGAUAUUAGGAAGAACACCGGUGGCGAAGGCGGCCCACUGGCUCGACACUGACGCUGAGGCGCGAAAGCUAGGGGGAGCAAACGGG